UGGGGUUAUGUUGCUGCAGAAAAUGUCUGCACACGUCCCUUGCGCUUUAGUCUGAAAACCCAAAGUAAUUCGUAUAAUAUUAGAGUGUAAUAAAAAUGUCUGAGCUUCUUAAGUAAAAUAAAAGAAGCUGGCAUUAAACUUUAAUUUCAAUUUCCAAUAGAUGUCUUUUCUCUAGAUAAUUUUAAUUUUGGUGCAUAUAUGGACUGCAUCUG
rnacentral:lncRNA from 1 species